rnacentral:rRNA from 1 species
UACGUAGGGUGCGAGCGUUGUCCGGAAUUAUUGGGCGUAAAGGGCUCGUAGGCGGUUUGUCGCGUCGGGAGUGAAAACACCGGGCUUAACUCGGUGCUUGCUUUCGAUACGGGCAGGCUAGAGGUAGGUAGGGGAGAAUGGAAUUCCCGGUGUAGCGGUGAAAUGCGCAGAUAUCGGGAGGAACACCGGUGGCGAAGGCGGUUCUCUGGGCCUUACCUGACGCUGAGGAGCGAAAGCGUGGGGAGCGAACAGG